rnacentral:misc_RNA from 1 species
AAAGUCGUAACAAGGUUUCCAUAGGUGAACCUGCGGAAGGAUCAUUACCAAUGGAAAAGGGAUUUCAACUUGUUGAAAUUCCCUUUUUUACCAUAUAACAAAACCCCAACCAAUGCACUUAUUGAAAGGAUUUAUUGACUUUUUUUCUGUAUAUUAUGUCUGAACAAUUUUACUUAACAAGUAAAAAAAAAAAUUUAAUACAACUUUCAACAACAGAUCUCUUGGCUCUC